CGAGCGAGUCUGCCUUGAAGAUCGGAGUGCUUGCACUCUGUGAAACAAGAUACAGGCUAGCGGCGGACGGGUGAGUAACACGUGGGUAACCUGCCCAAGAGAUCGGGAUAACACCUGGAAACAGAUGCUAAUACCGGAUAACAACAGAUGAUGCCUAUCAACUGUUUAAAAGAUGGUUCUGCUAUCACUCUUGGAUGGACCUGCGGUGCAUUAGCUAGUUGGUAGGGUAACGGCCUACCAAGGCGAUGAUGCAUAGCCGAGUUGAGAGACUGAUCGGCCACAUUGGGACUGAGACACGGCCCAAACUCCUACGGGAGGCAGCAGUAGGGAAUCUUCCACAAUGGACGCAAGUCUGAUGGAGCAACGCCGCGUGAGUGAAGAAGGGUUUCGGCUCGUAAAGCUCUGUUGUUGGUGAAGAAGGACAGGGGUAGUAACUGACCUUUGUUUGACGGUAAUCAAUUAGAAAGUCACGGCUAACUACGUGCCAGCAGCCGCGGUAAUACGUAGGUGGCAAGCGUUGUCCGGAUUUAUUGGGCGUAAAGCGAGUGCAGGCGGCUCGAUAAGUCUGAUGUGAAAGCCUUCGGCUCAACCGGAGAAUUGCAUCAGAAACUGUCGAGCUUGAGUACAGAAGAGGAGAGUGGAACUCCAUGUGUAGCGGUGAAAUGCGUAGAUAUAUGGAAGAACACCGGUGGCGAAGGCGGCUCUCUGGUCUGUUACUGACGCUGAGGCUCGAAAGCAUGGGUAGCGAACAGGAUUAGAUACCCUGGUAGUCCAUGCCGUAAACGAUGAGUGCUAAGUGUUGGGAGGUUUC
rnacentral:rRNA from 1 species